rnacentral:lncRNA from 12 species
AUCAAACUAAAGCCUGCAUUCAAAUAGCUAUUCAGCUUGGGCAUUCAUGUAGAGGAUAGGGUGGAUUUUACACAGGUAACUACAAGGGAAAGGCCAGCAGAGCCUCCAGCCGCAGCAUAUGGCACAGUCUCUGUCUAAUUAAUGCAUCCUCAAUAGAAUUGAUCCAUUUUAAAUUUGUUUUCUUUUACUUGAAACAUCAUUAAUGUAAAGGGCAACAUUAAUCAACAUCGUGGAACUUAAAAGGGCAUUAAAGAGUGAUCUUUUUCCCUAUGCAACAAGAAUCUUUUCAAGUAGUUGUGUUAACCGCAGCGGAUUCCAGGCUCAUUCCAGAGUUCUCAGGCAGAAGGCAAAUCUAGAGAGGCCUCUACUGGCGAGUCCCUCUCAGUGCACUUGUCCUAUGGAACCGCCUUAGAGAAAAGCCCGCAAGAGGAUGACUUCUAGCUCUGACCGGCAAGUUGCACACGAGGUGGAUCACUGGUGAACACACCGUACAAAACAUUGAAUAAUGGCGUGUUCACACUUUUGAAGUGGUCAUGUCUAACUGCUUCUUUUCAGGUAAUAAAAAGAAUCAUAAAGCUCUGAUGCAUGAGCUGCUUGGACACUUUUGAGAUAUGUUCAGAUUGUUCAACAAGGAUAUCACAGUUUUUCUCCUGGCUGGAUAGAGCAGAAAUGAAGUCCCCAGUUAGGAACUGAGAUCAGACGGUGAACAACAAAGAGCCCUGAGGUCUAUCUUAUGGAAUUGUGACAGCCUGCCCAGGAUAGCACUCUUGGCCACAACAAAGAGAGAAUCCUUGGAAAGGCCAAGUUUCCUCAUUCUGAAAGAUGAAGAUUAUGAAAUUGAAAGAUCGGGAUCUUAGAUCUGGACCACAUAGUGGGAGCUCAUGUUGGGGACUUAGUUCAGGAAUUCCUGGUACAUGUGUUCACACAGUGUAGCGCUUUCUGCAAAUACACAUGCAAUUCCCAUUAUCUAUAAUGGAGCUUGCACGCAUCAAGGAGAGAACAAACCCCACUGCGUAGUAUCUUUCUUGUGUGGUAUUGUGAGCACCUGGUCUACCUUAAGACAAGCCCCUUGACAAGUUCUUUGGGCACUUUGUUUUUCAUCAGGGAAGGCCAUUCCCAUCUAUGCCAUACAGAAGCAAACCCCUUCCAGGUGGCCACCUGUCUUUCCACAUGGCAAAAAUAUGGGACUUCCCUUUCCCAUGUAGACAAAUAUUUUUACAAGCAUUCUUGAUCAUGCUUUGUGGAAGCAUUCAAACAUGGAUAAAAAGUAAGUGAUGUACUUACAAAUGUAAAAGAAAAUAUAGCAUGUAUAUAGUUUAUUAUGUUUCUUCUAGUACUCAUUAAUUGGGAGCAAGAAACAAUCAU